UAUAAAUUGUGUUCCCUGUUUUGAGUUCGCUGUCUGCUGUUAAAUGUCUUAAAGGUUAAAUGUCUUGAAUGUUCUUUAGUUCCUGUAAAUGCCCGUUGAUGAUUAAAUUCUUUAUUUCUGAAGAAUUCUCCAGCAUCUCCUCACUCCUUCCCGAGUGUAAUUGUGACAGAACAGCAGACCAAGAAAAAAUUCUCCAGUGUCUCCUCACUCCUUCCCAAAUGUAAUUGUGACAACUCAUCAGUGGAUUCUCUGCAGUGAAUGGAUGCCGUCAGAAUGAGAGUCCAAACAGCUGAUAAAAACAUCACAAUAAUCCACAAGAAUGCUGUCCAUGAGGAAACAAGUUCUAGGAUGGCCUGAGGAUGGUGACAAACUGUUUGAUGUGAGACAGAAAGAGAGUGACAGCUGUGAACUAAAAGAAGGGAGAAAGAGAACGCAGAGAGACAGGAGAAGAGUGAUGGAGACAGCGAGGAUGAGGUGGAUGCAACACUAACAUCAUGACUACAAAAAGAGAAAAUGUCAUGCACAUUUGAAUGAUGCAUCAUGUCCUGUUUAUGACAUUACAGUAAUUCACACAUUUAAAUUUUGACUGUUCAAUGAUGCACACAAAAACAUACUAUUUAAAGCACAAGUCCAAAAAUGCAUAACCACCUGCUGAAACCAACC
ensembl:lncRNA